CGUGUGGGGGGGGUGUCCCUCAGCCCAGAUUGCAAGAGGGCACAGGCCAGCCCGAGGGACCCCACUGGUGCAGG
rnacentral:pre_miRNA from 1 species